rnacentral:rRNA from 1 species
CCCUUAGAUGUUCUGGGCCGCACGCGCGCUACACUGAUGCAUUCAACGAGUUUUUCCUGGUCCGAGAGGAAUGGGUAACCUUUUGAAAGUGCAUCGUGCUAGGGAUAGACUAUUGCAAUUAUUGGUCUUCAACGAGGAAUUCCUAGUAGACGUAGUUCAUCAGACUGCAUCGAUUACGUCCCUGCCCUUUGUACACACCGCCCGUCGCUCCUACCGAUUGGAUGAUCCGGUGAGCUAUUCGGACCUUCGCUUCGUCGAUUUUCGGCUUUGUGAAGGAAAGUCUCGCGAACCUUAUCAUCUAGAGGAAGGAGAAGUCGUAACA